UACGAGGGGGGCGAGCGUUGUUCGGAAUUAUUGGGCGUAAAGGGUGCGUAGGCGGUUUGGUAAGUCUUAUGUGAAAUCUAUGGGCUCAACUCAUAGUCUGCAUGAGAAACUGCCGGGCUUGAGUGUGGGAGAGGUGAGUGGAAUUUCCGGUGUAGCGGUGAAAUGCGUAGAUAUCGGAAGGAACACCUGUGGCGAAAGCGGCUCACUGGACCACAACUGACGCUGAGGCGCGAAAGCUAGGGGAGCAAACAGG
rnacentral:rRNA from 1 species